rnacentral:rRNA from 1 species
GACGAACGCUGGCGGCGUGCUUAACACAUGCAAGUCGAACGGAAAGGCCCAGCUUGCUGGGUACUCGAGUGGCGAACGGGUGAGUAACACGUGGGUGAUCUGCCCUGAACUUCGGGAUAAGCCUGGGAAACUGGGUCUAAUACCGGAUAUGACCAUUGGUUGCAUGACUUUUGGUGGAAAGCUUUUGCGGUUCAGGAUGGGCCCGCGGCCUAUCAGCUUGUUGGUGAGGUAACGGCUCACCAAGGCGACGACGGGUAGCCGACCUGAGAGGGUGAUCGGCCACUCUGGGACUGAGACACGGCCCAGACUCCUACGGGAGGCAGCAGUGGGGAAUAUUGCACAAUGGGCGCAAGCCUGAUGCAGCGACGCCGCGUGGGGGAUGACGGCCUUCGGGUUGUAAACCUCUUUCGGCAGGGACGAAGCGCAAGUGACGGUACCUGCAGAAGAAGCACCGGCCAACUACGUGCCAGCCGCCGCCGUAACAC